rnacentral:lncRNA from 1 species
AUUGAAUGUACUCCGUCUCGUUUCUUCUCCAGAUCUGCAAUUCUCCUUGGUUGUAGGGGAUCUCCCCUGGAACCACCCCCUUCGGUUAAUAAUCCGGGCCUCUCUCCCCCCCGUUAUGUUGUGGAGAGGUUUUCCCUCCCAACUUUUGUUGGGUUUUGUUUGCUCCUUGCUAUUGCAAGGGUUUGUUUCUUCCCUUUUCUUGAGGGUUUGUUUCCCAAUCUUUUGGGGCUAGUUAUUGGUUGAUCUUGCUAGAUAUGCUACUUGUGCGGUAGAUCUAGUGUUAGAUCUCUCUGUACUGGAGGUGGAGCUGCUGAAUUUGAUGGAUCUACUUUUAUUAUGCUUGGGGAUCAAGGGGGAUUAGGAGAUGCUGUGAUAUUAUUUGGAAUGUCCUGGUGGAAGUUGAGCGGUUAUGCCCUCCACUCUUGGGGUGUUUCCUGUCCCAUAAAGUUUGAGAGUUUGUUCUCUAUCUUGAUCUUUUUUAAGCACUGGUUGCUGCAAAAUUAGGGUCCUCAUUUGUAACUCCUUGUUAGCUCGGUUUCAAGUUGUAUAUUUAUUUUCUAACUAUUUUGUAAUACUUGUGCUUAGUUGGUGUUGUUACC